UGGGAUAGCUCAGCCGGCAGAGCAUGAGACUCUUAAUCUUUGGGUUGUGGGUUCGAGCCCCACAUUGGGCAAAA